CCUACGGGAGGCAGCAGUGGGGAAUUUUGGACAAUGGGCGAAAGCCUGAUCCAGCAAUGCCGCGUGAGUGAAGAAGGCCUUCGGGUUGUAAAGCUCUUUUGUCAGGGAAGAAACGGCAGUUUCUAAUACAGAUUGCUAAUGACGGUACCUGAAGAAUAAGCACCGGCUAACUACGUGCCAGCAGCCGCGGUAAUACGUAGGGUGCAAGCGUUAAUCGGAAUUACUGGGCGUAAAGCGUGCGCAGGCGGUUUUGUAAGUUUGUCGUGAAAGCCCCGGGCUCAACCUGGGAAUGGCGAUGAAGACUGCAAGGCUUGAAUCUGGCAGAGGGGGGUAGAAUUCCACGUGUAGCAGUGAAAUGCGUAGAGAUGUGGAGGAACACCGAUGGCGAAGGCAGCCCCCUGGGUCAAGAUUGACGCUCAUGCACGAAAGCGUGGGGAGCAAACAGGAUUAGAUACCCUGGUAGUCCACGCCCUAAACGAUGUCUACUAGUUGUCGGGUUUUAAUAACUUGGUAACGCAGCUAACGCGUGAAGUAGACCGCCUGGGGAGUACGGUCGCAAGNUUAAAACNCAAAUGAAAUUGACGG
rnacentral:rRNA from 1 species